GCUGUCUUAGUGUUUUACCACGGCGAGCACUGGAGUCACUGGGAAUCUAGCAGUCUGCAGACUGGUGGCCAGGAAGGAGCAGCUACCUCAGGCAGGAGUGUGGAGAGGCAUGGGGAGUCUCCAGUCUGAGGCUACCACAUGAGGCAAGGACUUCUCUGGACCUGCAGGAGGACAGGAUUCAGAGGCCAGGAUGCCAUAGUGGGGUAGACUUUUGCCUGGACCAUGCUGGUUCUGUGAAGAGAUUUUUUUUUUCCCCUGUGCCAAGCAUGGACGGCCUUUUGACACGGUCAAGACAUACAAAGUUCACGCUGAGAACUAUGCAAUGGAGUUACAAAAAAAAAAAUUUUUUUUUCAAAAACCAUCUUUCUCAUAUUUUGGAGUUCUGACCCGAGCUGCUGACCCAGAAGACGAAAUGAGAAGAUAGAUAGACUGGAAAGUUCAUUCUGGCUUAAUCCCGGUGGAAUUUCAUCAGAGCUCCUGGAGAGUUUGACAGCAGCGUGCCCGGGAGGGAGCUGGGGCGGGAGGAGAGGCGCUUCCCCAGGAAGUGAUUAGCCAGGCAGACCUGUUGUCCUAUGGAGGAGCACGUUACCCGGCGGAUGUAAUUACCCAUUCGCUCUGUUAUUAGCUGGGGUAAGAGAGUGAGGCUCUCGCCCUGCUCCUGCAUUUCAAAGCUUACUCACACGCCCGCAUCCCUGAUAUUAAAGCACAAUGAGACUUUUUUGAAUUCAAUUAA
rnacentral:lncRNA from 1 species